AGUUAAGGGGGGAGGGGGGCAGGGACGGUUCUACUUUAAAAGCCCAGAAACUGGCAGGCCACGGGGCUGUGACGCUGUCGACUUUCACGUCUGGAUAUUGUGUUCGUGCGUACUUGCGACUCGUGUUGCAUCUUGUCCCUUUGCUCUGCAGUUGUCAACGGAAAAAAUUUCUCAGUGAAAAAAAAGAACGCAGGCACAGGAGCAGGCUUAAAGUAGUAGGCACUGAGGAUGGCUCAGUGGCUAAGAGGACUGGGGGCUCUUCCAGGGGACUUAGGUUCCGUUCCCAGCACUCACAGGCUCACGGACAUCUUUAGCUUCCGUUUCAGGAGUUUUGAUGCCCUCUUCCGGUUUCCUUGAGCGUUAGACAUGCAAGGGACAUAUAUGUAGGUCUUUGAAUGCAAUGUCAGCAUAUUUUGCUCUGAGCAAUAAAACCUUACUCUAAUACUAGUUAAAGGUGCUUCGGAGAGGUGCUGAUAGGGAAGAGGCAAGGCAAAAACUGCGGGACACAAACGUACCUUUGUGAAAUCUGCUAUGGAAACACCUUCAGGGACCUGUUGUUGGAAAUCCUAGUGGCCUCAAGCAAAAAGGCUCAAGGCACACACUAGGGGGCGCACUGGAGUAAAUCUCUCGGUUGGAAAAGGAUAAGAGGAAGGUUGUCACUCCUCUUCCGGCUGUGCUAUCUAAUCAUCUCAACCUCCCCUCAACCUCCCUCGCUCUUCCCUUUUCACUGACUUUCACGACGGGAAAAGAAUUUCACAGGUUAGUAGGGAGGAGGGUUGUGUGCUACACAACGAGACAUUGUUGUAACCACAAACAAACAAGCGAAAAGAAUUUCCCAUUCCAAAUUUGCAUGAUUAUGCCAUCCUUACGGAAAACAAAGCCCUGUGCAUAAUCUUGAAUAGCCAUCAAGGGGUCUGUAUGUUACCGGUUUGACUCGAGCCUGUGGAUCCACUGGGUGGAUUUAGUAGAAGGAAAGUUGUCUCUGAAGCUACUAAGCAAAGGCGCUCUUAGGAUCCGGGUGUUUUUGUAGUUGGAGGUUGUUUGUUUGUUUUGUUUGUUUGUUUGUUUGUUUGCUUUUUUGUUUUGUUUUUUGUUUUUUUCUUUGUUCCUGGAAGUCAGAGCCAUGGAAAAGAUCUGUCACAAGCCCAAUUGUCACAUGGCCAGGCAACCACGGAGGACUGGAACCACUUAAUUAGUGAACUAAAAUAAACUUUUUCUCGUUUGGAGUUUUUUUCUUUUAGGGAUUUUUGUCCACAGACUAGAAAGUUGUUUAGCAUGCCAUCAUAAAUUCCUUGGUAUGACCAUGAUCAAAAAGACCAACCACAUAACAAUCCCCCUUAUACUGUUAGGUGCUCUUAUAUUGACCACAUAUCAUUUAUAAGUCUGCUAAUUUGCCUAUCAUGAUUGAAUCCUCUCAGAAUGCCCUAAGGGAGGUGCCUAUUUUUGGUUUUGUGGGGUUUUUUUCCUUCUUUUUCUCGUCUUCGUCUAGCAUUGUGAAUAGGAAGUAACGGAUGGCUACUUCAUAGUACUUUUCUAAAUCUCAGACUAAUUUCCCAUUUUCAACAAAUUAAUAAGCUUCCUUGUCUUCUUCCAAAUGUGGCUAAAAAUAAGUAAAGAGAAGUACUAUUUUUUUUAAAAAAAAAGAUUAGCUUAUUUAUUUCAUGUAUGUGAGUACACUGUCUCUGUCUUCAGACACACCAGAACAGGGCACUGGAUCCCAUUACAGAUGGUUGUGAGCCACCAUAUGGUUACUGGGAAUUGAACUCAGGACCUCUGGAACAGCAGUCAGGGCUCUUAACCUCUGAGCCAUCUCUCCAGCCACAGUGCUAUUCUUUAAAACGCAUGGUUUACACUGGGCGUGGUUGCCCAUGUAUCUAAUUGUCGCACUGUGUUUGGAAGGCAAGUGGAUCUCAGUGAGUUCAAAGCCAGGCUGGUCAACAUAGUGAGUCCCAGAUCGUCAAGGCUUCAUGGUGAGACACUGUCUCAAAAUAAAUGAAAAGCAUUGCUUACAUAUAAAGCCGGCUUUAUUUUAUUUUAUUUUUUAAAAGAAACUGGUAUUUGUUUUCUACUAGUCUUAUCUUCAUUUUGCCAAAUAGCUUAACACUGGAAGCUACCGACAAUCUCUGGUAGCAAGUUGGACACCAAGCCAUUAGGGAGAUACUGAACAGGCAAAGAUAGUUCCUAUCUGCUUUCGGACCAGGCUGUGAGCUCAGGGACAAGGGCGCUCAGCAUAGAGGAGUCCAGUCGCCCUGACAUUCCUCUUUGGUACAGCCUGCUCUUCUUUUCUAAACUGUUCAAGAUCUUUACAGAUCAGGUAUGACCUCCCCGCGUGCUCACAGGACAUGGAGCCACGAAUGUGCAGAAAACUUCCCAGACCAGCAUCCACCGGCUGGAACCUGAGGAGGGCGCUCCCUUGCUGUUACUGGGGAUGCCGAUGGACAUGGAGUGUGGAGGAGGCUGUUGCACAGAACGCUGGUUAAGUUGUUUGUCAUAAGACACCACAUGAAAGAUCAUCGGUCACCACCAGAAGUUAUAGUUCCAGGAACAUUACCCAGGAUGCCUCAGCGAAGAUUCCAGGAGUGAGCGCAGGCAGUAGGAGUGGCUCCGACGACAGCAGUCAAGUUCGGUACAGGUUGCUGGCCAGGAUUCCCGUAUGCUGAUGCACGGACAGCGAAGGCUUCCUGGGUCCUCUUCAGGCUUAUGAUGUAGAUUUUACUUCCUGCUCUCUUAUAGAUGUACAGUUGCAACAGAAAAUCAAAGACGUUCCACACAAGUGGAUUUCUGAUACAAGAAUGGUCUUCGUUUAUGGGACACUAAGGACUUAUUAUUAUGGAAGUUUCAAGUCAGAGGAAUCCAGAACUCCAGCGUGGACCCCUCUCUAGGUUGCCUGGUGAAGUGGAAGUUAUCCUUGCUGAGUUCUUGCUCGUGGGAUAUUUAAGCAGAAUCUCCCACAACUACGGUGCACCUGGUGCCUUUGGAGGCCAGAAGAGGACGUCAGAAUUUCUGAAACUGGAGUUACAGAUGGUCCUGGGCUACCACGUGGAUGCAGGGAAUUAAACUAAGGUCUCCUAGAAGAGCAGCUGGUGCUCUUAACUGCUGAGGCAUCUCUCCGGCCUUGAGUUUUGAUUUGUUCUUAAAGGACGUUUAAAUUCUGUUUUUCCUCAGGGGCAACGUCUACUGGCUGUCGUUGUCCUGUAACAGUGGCCAAGCAUCGUUUCUUUGUGUCCCUGGUACUUUUGGCUUUGCUGUUUGAAAUCAGUUGUUGAAAAUAUUAUAAUGUAAGAGCUCCGGAAAUCACAUUAUCCCCUUGCUCAGGGUGUCUUGCUGUGGCUGAAGUUGGCUUGCUUAAUAAGUUUCCCAUGUCAUUCUGUAAAGUCUGAAAAUUCUUGUUAUACCUGUCUUAGUUGCUUAGCCCACUGGUCAGCUAAUUACUGAGCAAGGCUUCCCUAAGUUCCUUGUACAGUUCUACCAUUGCUGAAUGACUCUCUCUCUCUCUCUCUCUCUCUCUCUCUCUCUCUCUCUCUCUCUCUCUCUGUGUGUGUGUGUGUGUGUGUGUGUGUCUGUGUCUAUGUAUCUGUAUGACUCUGCCUGUCUGUCUGUUCUUCUGUCUCUCUCUCUGUCUCUGUCUCUCUCUGACUCUUUUCUCUGUCUCUGUGUGUGUGUCCAUGUCCCUGCACCACACUUUCAACUCCCAGAGUAUUUUUUCAUGUAAAACUCAGUAUUUCUUCUUUCUAGUUUUUGCAAACAUUGUUUUCCAAUUUAAAAAUAACAGCUUAAAUAAAUAUAUAUAGCCAGGGAGUGGCGGCUUUAAUCCUACCACUCAGGAGGCCGAGGCAGGACAGGCUGAUCUGAGUUUGAGGACAGCCUGGUCUACAGAGUUCAGGGACAGCCAGGGCUACACGGAGGAAUCCUAUCUCAAGAAACGCACCAAACAAACAAAGCCACCAGCCUCCCUUACCAUGUCGCAAAGCUUACAAACUCUUCUCCACAGAAAACACUGCUGUUCAUAGCAGACGUGCCAUGCUUACAUUGUACUUACUGUGUAAAUAAUUAAACAGACAGAAACAUUGAACAGAUGGGGCACUUAAGAUAUACAUGAUAUAUUGAUAUAAAACAUGGCUACUGUGAAUCAGAGUUGCAAGGAUGUACUACCGUACUGCAGGGUGCCUGCAGCAUAUGCAGUGGUGGUUUUCAAGGCCUUUAAAAACACUCCUCUGCAUUCGACAUCAUUUGUGUGCAUCAUGAUUAGACAACUAGUAUUCCUUAGUAUCAAUAAAACUGCUAAAGACUCUAA